rnacentral:rRNA from 1 species
GACGAACGCUGGCGGCGUGCCUAAUACAUGCAAGUAGAACGCUGAAGAGAGGAGCUUGCUCUUCUUGGAUGAGUUGCGAACGGGUGAGUAACGCGUAGGUAACCUGCCUGGUAGCGGGGGAUAACUAUUGGAAACGAUAGCUAAUACCGCAUGAAAUGGAUUAUCGCAUGAUAAUUCAUUGAAAGGUGCAAAUGCAUCACUACCAGAUGGACCUGCGUUGUAUUAGCUAGUUGGUGGGGUAACGGCUCACCAAGGCGACGAUACAUAGCCGACCUGAGAGGGUGAUCGGCCACACUGGGACUGAGACACGGCCCAGACUCCUACGGGAGGCAGCAGUAGGGAAUCUUCGGCAAUGGACGGAAGUCUGACCGAGCAACGCCGCGUGAGUGAAGAAGGUUUUCGGAUCGUAAAGCUCUGUUGUAAGAGAAGAACGAGUGUGAGAGUGGAAAGUUCACACUGUGACGGUAUCUUACCAAAAGGAAGGG